AUCCAGCUGACGAGUCCCAAACAACACGAAACGUGUGUCCUGGAU
rfam:Schistosoma curassoni strain Dakar, Senegal genome assembly, scaffold: SCTD_contig0001656